rnacentral:rRNA from 1 species
UACGACUACAUAUCAGGCAUAUCAAUAAGCGGAGGAAAAGAAACUAACAAGGAUUCCCUUAGUAACGGCGAGUGAAGCGGGAAGAGCUCAAAUUUGGAAAUCUUCAAGGGUUCUACCUUUACGAAUUGUAGUUUAAAGAAGUGUUUUCUGUUAGGAGUUAGGCUAAAAGUUCCUUGGAAUAGGGACAUCAUAGAGGGUGAGAAUCCCGUAUUUGACGUUAUUCAUUCUAGCUGUGUGAUACACUUUCAAAGAGUCGGAUUGUUUGGGAAUGCAGUCCAAGAUGGGUGGUAAAUUUCAUCUAAAGCUAAAUAUUGGCGAGAGACCGAUAGCGAACAAGUACCGUGAGGGAAAGAUGAAAAGAACUUUGUAAAGAGAGUUAAACAGUACGUGAAAUUGUCAAAAGGGAAGCGUUUGACACCAGUGUUGUUUAGUUGAAAAUCAAUUCAAUAGUUCUUGAUUCUAAGUAGUAUUGACUUCAUCAGCUUGCUGCUUUCUUCUCAGAAAUUAUUGAAUGCACUUUUCAGUUAACAAGUCAACAUCAAUUUCUUUUGUUGUAAAAGGGUAAGAGGAAGGUGGCUUGCGCUUCGGCUCAAGUGUUUAUAGCCUUUUAUCUCUGCAAUCGGAGAGAUUGAGGUCUGCAGCGUAGAUCCUUCGGGGUUAGAUACAUUGGUGCUAAGCUAUAGCCUUGUAUAGACAACUUGUUGACUAUGCUCAGUCAUGUAGCUUACUCGCUGAUGCUAUUUUACCUACGCUUAGGAUGUUGAGUAGCGACAUACGCAC